CAAACCAGGGCCAUCAAAAUCUUUUGAUGAGUCAGCAAAAGGAUGCUUCUCGCCAAAUGGAAGUCCAUCUUUGCAUAAGAAGAGAGAAGAGGUACAGUCCAAACUUGACUUUUUAAAGGCCAAGUUUUUGGAUAGUAA